rnacentral:rRNA from 1 species
UACGUAGGGUGCAAGCGUUGCUCGGAAUUAUUGGGCGUAAAGAGCUCGUAGGCGGUUUGUCGCGUCUGCUGUGAAAACCCGAGGCUCAACCUCGGGCCUGCAGUGGGUACGGGCAGACUAGAGUGCGGUAGGGGAGAUUGGAAUUCCUGGUGUACGGUGGAAUGCGCAGAUAUCAGGAGGAACACCAAUGGCGAAGGCAGAUCUCUGGGCCGUAACUGACGCUGAGGAGCGAAAGCAUGGGGAGCGAACAGG